UGCCUAAUACAUGCAAGUCGAACGAGAUAGUGGAGCAAUCCAUGUGUAAAGUGGCAGACGGGUGAGUAAUACAUAGGUAACCUCCCUCUAAGAUGGGAAUAACCUUCCGAAAGGAGGGCUAAUACCGAAUGAGACCACGGGUACUACGGUACCAGGGGUUAAAGAUGGCCUCUAUUUAUAAGCUAUCGCUCGGAGAUGGGCUUAUGCACCAUCAGCUAGUUGGUAAGGUAACGGCUUACCAAGGCUUCGACGGUUAACUGAUCUGAGAGGUUGAUCAGUCACACUGGAAAUGAGACACGGUCCAGACUCCUACGGGAGGCAGCAGUAGGGAAUAUUGCGCAAUGGAGGAAACUCUGACGCAGCGACGCCGCGUGGGUGAUGAAGGCUUUCGGGUCGUAAAACCU
rnacentral:rRNA from 1 species